CCUAUUAUUUUUUCUAAUCUCUCUUCCCCUAUUCGUGAUUUCUCCCCCCUUUUAUCUUCGGAUUUAGGGUUCUUGCUACAAGGAGUCUGGGUUCCCUUUGGUUGUAUUUGUCUCAACAAGCCAUCAGUUUGCUUUAUCCUGUGCUUCGAUUUAAUAUUCUGGGGAUUUAAUAUUUUUGCGUUUAUUGGUUGCUAUUUGGAUUCUGAAUAUUAAUGGGUUUCUCUAACUUGAUACUAUCUCGAUCACGAUCUAAUUGGAUAGGAUUACUUAAUAUUCAUACUUGCCAGAUUGGCGAAUUAUUGGCGAUGCGUUCCUGUGACCGUUGUCGAAUUAUUGGCGAGAUUCAGUCCUUGAGAUGUGUUCGUUUUGGUGUUAUUAAAAUCUCUCAUCAAACAUCUUUGUUCUCAUCCAUCUAUUGAUGUGUUAUGGCGCUGAUGCAUAUAAACUAAGUGGUUCUCUCGGUUUUGUUGAUGCUAGGUCUAUGGCUAUGCCAACAGUCUGAUGAUCUUCAAGAUUAGAUACUAUCUAGAUCGCCAUCUAAUUGGAUCAGAUCCCUUAUUUAUAAUGGCCAGCUACAUAUAACCUUUUUUUUCCUUUCUCUUUUCUUUCCAUUGUUUUGGGGUGAUCAAGAUGAUUACUGUUUAGGUUUAUAAAUUUUCUGUAGAUGUCGGUUGCUAUGGAGUUAUUUGGUUGAGGAGUAAGUUCUUGUAAUGGAUGUGGAUUAUUUGCUAGAUCCAGUCCUUGAGACGUGUUUGGUUUGCUGUUAUUAAAAUCUCUCAUCAACCAUCUUUGUUCUCAUCCAUCUAUUGAUGUUUUAUGGAGCUGAUGCAUAGUUCUCUCCGGUUUUGUUGAUGCUAGGUCCAUAGCUAUGCCAACAGUCUGAUCUUCAAGAUUAGAUACUAUCUAGAUCGCCAUCUAAUUGGAUCAGAUCCCUUUUUUAUACUGGCCAGCUACAUCUAACCCUUUCUUUUUUUCCUUUUUUCUUUUCUUUGUUUUCCGGUGAUCAAGAUGUUUACUGCUGAAUUCUGGUUUAUAAACUUUCUGUAGAUGUUGAUUGCUAUGGAGUGAGUUCUUAUAACGGAUGUGGGUUAUUGGCUAGAUCCAGUCCUGGAGACGUGUUCGGUUUGGUGUUAUCUCUUAUUAUCAAACAUCUUUGUUCUUAUUCAUCUGUUGAUGUGUUAUGUUGCUGAUGCAUACAAACUAAGUGGUUCUCUGGAUUUUGUGGAUGCUAGGUCCAUAUCUAUGCCAACAAUUAUGAUGAUCUUCAAAAUUAGAUGCUAUCUACAUUGCAAUCUAAUUGGAUUGUAUUCCUUAUUUAUCCUGGCCAGCUACAUCUAACCUUUUCUUUCUUUCAUUUGUUUUGAGGUGAUCAAGAUGAUUACUGUUGAAUUCUGGGUUAUAAAUUUUCUGUAGAUUUUGAUUGUUGUGGAGUUAUUGGGUUGAAAAGUGAGUUAUUGUAAUGGAUUAUUGGCAGGAUCCAGUCCUUGAGAAGUGUUCUAUUUGUUGUUAUUAAAAGAUCUCAUCACACAUCUUUGUUCUUAUUCAUCUGUUGAUUUGUUAUGUUGCUGAUGCAUACAAACUAAGUGGUUCUCUGGAUUUUGUUGAUGCUAGGUCCAUAGCUAUGCCAAGAGUCUGGUCUUCAAGAUUAAAUAUUAUGCCAUCUAAGUGGAUUGGAUCUCUUAAUAAUAUUGGCCAGAGACAUCUAACUUCUUUUUUCUUUUCUUUGUUUUGGGGUGAUCAAGAUGUUUACUGCUGAAUUCUGGUUUAAUAAACUUUCUGUAGAGUUGAUUGCUACCGAGUCUUUGGAUUGAAGAGUGAGUUCUUGUAAGGGAUUUGAAUUAUUGGCUAGAUGCUGUCGUUGAGAAGGGUUUGGUUUGGUGUUAUUUAAAUCUCCCACCACACAUCUAUGUUCUCAUUCAUCUGCUAAUGUGUUAUGGUGCUGAUGCGGAACUAAGACGUUCUCUGUAUUUUGUUGAUGCUAGGUCCAUAAUUAUGCCAGCAUAUUAUUUUCUAAGGAUCUUAAGGCGCUGUACGCAUCUCCUAGAAACCAGUGCACUACUAUUCUGUGCCCUUCUACUCUAAUUUUUGUGCAAUUUAUCUUCUUUGAUGUUUUUCUUUUAAUUCACUGGCACUGGGGGAGCAAUCAAAUUCAGAUCCACAAGUUUCUUUUGGACAUUACUAUGUGGCCUUUAUUUCUACACUGAUAUGUCAAUGUGUAUCUUUGAGGAUACGUGCAUCUUGAAGUACCUAGGUACUGUAGUUGUUUAGUUGUUUACUGCUUUGAUCCAAACAUGUGGGCAGGUGAAUGGGCAUCUACAUCUUGUGGACAAAGAAACCUGUAAAUUUAAUUUCAUUAUAUACUUGGUGCAUGUGUGCAACAUGGCUGUUUGCCUAGAGUUAUAACAGAUCAGGAGUUUCCCAUUCGUAAUAUACUGGUCAUUCGAGUGCACCCAUGAUCCGGGCAACUCAACUUUCACCUGUUUGAUGAAUGCUGGAAGCUAUGGUUUGAUAUUCUUUCUCCCAUUUCUGUCUUUCUCAGUUAUUGUAGGUUUCUUUGUUGCAACAUGGUCUAGAUGUAUGGUUGUCAUGUUUUUAAGCCAUUUCUCUCAUUUUUCUUUUCCUGUAGCAGUUUUUAAUUGUAUUUCCUUGUUCUUAUCCUUCUAAAUGGCUUAUCUUUUCGAAGUUCACAUGUGGCUGUCAAUGGCUUGUGCUUGAUGAAGGUUAUGUGAGGCUAUAUCCGUAUGUUCACUUGUGGCCGUCAAUCAUCUUUUCCAAGUUCACUUGUAGCUGUCAGUGGCUUGCGUCUGAUGAAGGUUAUGUGAGGUUAUAUCCCUAACUUCUGUCUUAGUGGGGAGGCCUUUUAUUAAAUUAUGUUGUAGUGCUUUGUGUAUGAGUCACAAAAGAUAUGCUAGCCUCCAAGAAUACGGUGUCAUCACUCAUUAGCAUGCCAUCUCAGGGAUUGUUGCAACUUUCAUCAUGUUUCAUUUGCUUUGAUCAUCUCUAUCCAUGCCUUUCUACUGCUCGGCUAUGUUCUUAUGUUUCUACAGUACAGUGUCUGGUGAAGUGAUGGAUGGAGACUUCUUGAGUAAAAUGUGUGAUGGACAUUUGUGUGGAUGGGCAUGAGGAUGGCUAAGUUCAAUCUUUUCUUUAUUAAGUGAUUAUACAUGUAACAUAGUGCAGGCUUUGCAUUGUUUUCUGGUGCAUUUGUCAUAGAAAAGAGGGUUAAUGUCGUCAGUGGCCAGUUUUAGAGAUUGGGGAAACCUUUCAACUGGUCAUUGUUGUUCGGCAAGGUUUUGUUUAUUGGAGGUUUGUCAAUCUUUUAAAGGAUCACCGAGGUUAUUGUUCAGUGUACUUGUAUCUUUAAAAAACAAGGCUUUAAUUCUCUGUCACUAUGGUGAAACCAAAUUCACCAAUGUCUCUUCCUUUUCCUAUUCCAUCCGAUGUAUUAUGGAUGUGAGAUUUGAAUCUACAUAUGUAGAAGCAUGGUUAUCUUUCAUUUUGGUGCAAUUCCAUAUGGGCCCUCUAUUGUUGCAAGGUGCGUUCAAUAAUGGGAUUAGACUGAGGUAGUGGAGGUGCCUUCAUGUCUGCAUGGUAGGAUGAUAUACAAUUCAUAUAGUCUGCAAUUUGGUUGGUGGAGACUGUGGUUUCCUGAAUUUCAUUGCUAGUUUUCACUGAACCUGAUUACUGAGCCUCCCCAAGGAUAGCCAACAGCUAGGAUCUUUUAUGAUAAGUAAUGCUGUAUAUGGAUCCUUCCCUUAUUUUAGAGAUGACCAGUGACCUUUUGCACGUUGCCUGUGGUCAUAGACUUAUUAGAGCAAGGUUUACCUUAUCACCUGUCAGUCAAGGCAGUCAGUGCGUAUGAUCAACUAUCGUGUCCCUGUGUGCAUAUCAGUUUAUCUGGAAGUUGUGAUUCAGUGUAUGGAUUGGUGAAUGACUGAAUGGACAUCUUGAAGGGUGUAUCCAAGUAUGGGAUCAAUGAAGACAGUUUGAGGUGUAUUCAAGGUUUGUUUAAUGUUGGCUUAGCACUCUCUUCUUGGUAUCUCUUACCAUCGAAUUGUGAUUUCUUUUAUGCCGGUACCAGUGGAAAUAUAUUUUUGUGUUUGGCAUUCAACCUUUCAGACCUUUUAUGCCACCUAUCUAUUGUUCUUGGUCCUGCUUUUUUCCUUGGAAAUAUAUUUUUGUGUUUGGCAUUCAACCUUUCAGACCUUUUAUAACACCUAUCUAUUGUUCUUGGUCCUGCUUUUUCCCUUGGUCUUUCUCGGUACCUUUGUGGCUUUGUUUGCUGAAGCUGUUGAUCACUGGAUACCUUGGUGAGGAUAAAGUGAAUGCUUUGAAUUUUAGUGAAGACAUCUAUUCAAUAUUGUUCAACAAGAGUUUUUUCUUGCUGCCGGUGCUCACAGAGCAAGAUAUUCAAUCAAACUAGUCAUUGGUGUAUAAUCAGUUAUGUGAAGCUAUGAUUCAAUGUAUGAUUACAGAACACAAGGGGUGUGUGCUGGGACUUUAAGUUAUGAACAAUUUUUUUAGUGUCAUAGUGUGUUCCUUGUCUUCUUGAAGAAAGUGAGUACAAGUUUGGAUUGUUCUGCUGGUUUGCUUGUUUUAUGCUACUAUAUGACUUUUCGGGAUAAUUUACUUUGGAACAGGCUAAAUUAACUUUCAAGGUCAUGGUUGUCAUUUGGAAGGAUGGAUAGAUAAGAAAAGCUAAAUUAACCGUAUCUUUUUACUCUGGUGACUAGCUACAUGUAACAUGUUAGAAUCAUUGUGCAAGUGGUGCCUUGUUUUGUGUUGCAUAGUGUUAAAUAACAAGUGGUGAAUGUGAAAUGUCCAUCAGCUGCCAGUCUUUGGAAUUCUCCGUCUUAAUUCAGCUUUUACGGUUGAUGCCCACUUAGAUUAUAGUUUGCAACUUUCAUUUAAGCACAGUUUUAUAUUGCCUCUCUGAUUCUCUGUCUUAAUUCAGUUUACGGGUGAUGUCCACUGAGAUUAUAGUUUGCAUUUUGUUGUGAGGUGUAUCCAAGUAUGGGAUCAAUGAAGACAGCUGGUGUAGGUGUCAGUGUGAGGUGUAUUCAAGGUUUGUUUAAUGUUGGCUUAGCAAUAGCUCCUUGGUUUCUCUUACCAUCCAAUUGAGUUUUCUUUUAUGCCGGUAUCAGUGGAAAUAUAAUUUUGUGUUUGUCAUUCAACCUUUCUGACCUUUCAUGCCACCUAUCUAUUGCUCUGGGUCCUGCUUUUUUCCUUGGUCGUCCUCGGUACCUUCCUUUGCUGAAGCUGUUGAUCACUGGAUACUUUGGGGAGAAUAAAGUGAAUGCUUUGAAUUUCAGUGAAGACAUCUUAUUCAAUAUUGUUCAACAAGUCUUUUUCUCUUGUUGCAUGUGCUUACAGAGCAAGAUAUUCAAUCAAACUAGUCAUUGGUGUAUAAUCAGUUAUGUGGAAGCUAUGAUUCAAUAAUAUAUGAUGACAGAACACAAUGGCUGUGCUGGGACUUUUAGUUAUGAA